UACGAAGGGUGCAAGCGUUACUCGGAAUUACUGGGCGUAAAGCGUGCGUAGGUGGUGAGUUAAGUCUGUCGUGAAAGCCCCGGGCUCAACCUGGGGAUGGCGAUGGAUACUGGCUCGCUAGAGUGCGGUAGAGGAGAGUGGAAUUCCCGGUGUAGCAGUGAAAUGCGUAGAGAUCGGGAGGAACAUCAGUUGCGAAGGCGGCUCUCUGGACCAGCACUGACACUGAGGCACGAAAGCGUGGGGAGCAAACAGG
rnacentral:rRNA from 1 species